rnacentral:rRNA from 1 species
GAUGAACGCUGGCGGCGUGCCUAAUACAUGCAAGUCGAGCGAACCACUUCGGUGGUGAGCGGCGAACGGGUGAGUAAUACGGAGGUGAUCUGCCCAUCAGACGGGGACACAGAUUGGAAACGAUCGCUAAUACCGGAUAGGUCGAAAGCUGAAAGGUGCUUCGGGCAACGCUUACGGAUGAGACUGCGGCGCGUUAGCCAGUUGGUAGGGUAAAGGCCUACAAAGGCGACGAUGCGUAGCCGACCUGAGAGGGUGAACGGCCACACUGGGACUUAGACACGGCCCAGACUCCUACGGGAGGCAGCAGUAGGGAAUCUUCGGCAAUGGGCGAAAGCCUGACCGAGCAACGCCGCGUGAAUGAUGAAGGCCUUCGGGUUGUAAAAUUCUGUUAUAAGGGAAGAACGACUUUAGUAGGAAAUGGCUAGAGUGUGACGGUACCUUAUGAGAAAGCCACGGCUAACUACGUGCCAGCAGCCGCAGUAA